rnacentral:rRNA from 1 species
UACAGAGGUCUCAAGCGUUGUUCGGAUUCAUUGGGCGUAAAGGGUGCGUAGGUGGCGCUGUAAGUCGGGUGUGAAAUUUCGGAGCUUAACUCCGAAACUGCAUUCGAUACUGCGGUGCUUGAGGACUGGAGAGGAGACUGGAAUUCAUGGUGUAGCAGUGAAAUGCGUAGAGAUCAUGAGGAAGACCAGUGGCGAAGGCGGGUCUCUGGACAGUUCCUGACACUGAGGCACGAAGGCCGGGGGAGCAAACGGG